AUGCGCCCAUGCCUGUGCCGGCAAGCCGCCAGUGUCCGGGCCAACAAGCUUGAGCCCAAGGAGCGCUACGACGGGAUGAUGAUGGAGGUGUAUGAGGCGGAACAAGUGCCGGCACCGAUCAUGGAGCAUCUCUCCGUUUUUCGAUGGUUGAGGGGCAAGGGAGCUUUCUCGGUGUUGGGUGCUUUGUUUGCCGGUGGUGGUGGCAAGAAAAUUUUCAAGAAGAAUGCAGAGGGCUCCCAUGUCUCUAAGCGCUCGAGGAGCAAACGUACUGCUCUCGUUGAGAAAAAGAACAAGCGCUAA
rnacentral:rRNA from 1 species